rnacentral:SRP_RNA from 1 species
CCGGUGCAGGAAUCGGCAUGGCAGCGAUCGCUCCUGAUGCCCCUCCGACGGGCGCUGAGUACCCGGCAAACCAGCCUGUCAUGGGCAAAGUCAAGGUGUGGAGAGUUGACAAGGGCUUCGGCUUCCUAACGGCAGAACACGGUGGCCCGGACGU